UACGUAGGGUGCAAGCGUUGUCCGGAAUUAUUGGGCGUAAAGAGCGUGUAGGCGGCCAGACAAGUCCGUUGUGAAAACUAGAGGCUUAACCUCUAGACGUCGAUGGAAACUGUUUGGCUAGAGUCCGGAAGAGGAGAAUGGAAUUCCUGGUGUAGCGGUGAAAUGCGCAGAUAUCAGGAAGAACACCCGUGGCUAAGGCGGUUCUCUAGUACGGUACUGACGCUGAGACGCGAAAGCGUGGGGAGCGAACAGG
rnacentral:rRNA from 1 species